rnacentral:lncRNA from 1 species
AUGUCACUGGAGCAUCCUGCGACUUCAAGUGAGCUAUGUCUUCCAUGAGACCUAUUAGAUGUGCUCACACUGAUUCCCUACGAGACAGAUGAGAGAGACGAGCUCAGAAAGAAAUAGCCUGAAAGCAGACGAUGCAGGAUUUAUCCCGGAGCUCGAUCCCUGCUGGCUGGACCAGCUUGGAGUCACAUAUGAGACUGGGCACGUCAUUCUCUCAGGUGAUAAAUUCCUGCUUUCAGCUAUGGAAAGACAACAUUACAAGUUUCGCAAUUUAAGACGUAAACCAGCAAAGAAGAAUGCAAAUAGCAAAGUGUGAUAAUUUUCUUUGCAGAUACCCAAGCCCGAGACAACCCUUUUGAAGACAUAUGAUGUUGAAGACAUAAGAAUCCUUUUCACCUUGAGCACUCGCAAUGUUGUGAAAGAGAGACCAAGAAUCUCCUGCGUCUAUGGCUCUAGGGAGAAAGAAGCUGACUCAAACCUGAGAGAAAAGAAAAAGAAAAUGUGAAAGUGUGGAACGAGUCAAAAGCUAUCUUAGCCACCAGACCUAGGAUAUUCACACAUUUAAGGAGCAUCUGCUAUGUGACCUGUGUUAUGCUGGAAACUAAAAUGACAGAGAAAUUAGGUAUGAGUUCCCAUCUCAUAGAGAAGGAAGUGGAGGCCGAAAAGGAUCAAGUUGCUGUCCCAAAGUCACACGGUUCAUAAAGACUAGGAUUGGAAUCUAGGUUUGUCUGACUCCAAAACCUGUGUACUUCCCCU